UUAUCAUUUAUGCUUUGACUAUCACAUGUUUUCAAGUUCACAUUUCAUGUGGACAAAGAUGCCUUUGUGUAUUCCAGUUCUCCUGUUUGGGAUGACCCUCCCCUACUCUCUGCUAAUCCCCAUCUCUGGCCCUCUUAAACACCUUGCUUUGUAUUUGUUCCAUUGCUUGCUAUUUCCAGCACGAGCUUUGCUUUCUCAAUGGGUUUUAACACUGUGGGGGUAGGAGUCUUGCCUAUUUUUACGUAUUACUGGGUCUGAUGCUCUGAGUGCCCCAAGUGCCUGUGAAGUGAUAGCAAACGAGCGCAUGCUUUCUGAGCUGCUGGGCGUUAUCACAGAUAACUAUUGAGGCAAUAAUUCAGGACAUUUCAUUCUGUUAUUAAUAACCCUUCAUAUUUGUGUAACUCUUUCCCUAAAGAGUUUUCCAAAGUGUUUUGAGAUUAUUGUCUGUGAGCCUCACAGCAGCCCUAUGAGAGGGGUGAGGUGGCUGUUUUUAUCUUUAUGGUGUUGAGCUGAAAACUGAGGCUCAGAGAAGUUUAGUUGGGCAAGAUCACGCAGACAGUGAACUGGGUCUUAAACCCAGAUCUCCUCAUUCACAGUUCACUACUCAGUGCACUACACCAAGGUGUCUCAGUCUCGGUGUUGGUUGAGAAACGUACCUUCCCAUUGAUGCUGUCACUUAGGGGACCCAGAAGCUCAUGAGUCUAACUCCAGUUUGACAUAAUGCAUAUGACAGGUGAUCCAGGGGACUGAACCCACUUCUCAAGCUGAUGAGUACAAGCUUCUCAAUACCACUUUCAGGACCAUUUUUGAAGCUUGAACACUGGAACAACUUAUGCUGAGCAUUUGGCAUCUGCUGCCAGUGUACAAGAAAGAGAGGAAUGAGCAGACAGUAUGGGAGCCCCUUGUCCAGAUUCUCUCUUAGAAGCCCAAGAUCUAACUCCAAAAAAGGAAUUCCCUUUGCCUCUUGUCAGAGCUUAGAAAAUAAAAUUAAGGGUGCCCCUGAGCAUCAAAGCACACUCUCCACCCAUGUUCUUCUAGCUGCCUCCAGUCAGCCCUAAGGGGGAUUUCCUUGGCAGCCAGCCUGUGAGAUCAGCCUCGUGGUCGCCAUACCUCCUGGUCCCAAACAAAUCCAACUCCAUUCUUCACUUGCAACAUGGGCAACACUAAGGAAUGAGGAGAUGAAAAUAUUCACGGAUCCUCUCAUUCCAGAAUGAUUGCAAAACAUCUGUUUACAUUGUAAGGGGAGACUUGGAGAGGACCUUUUAUGAGAUUGUGGUAAAUAGGGACAAAUAAACACAUGGGAAAGAUAAAAGAGGCAAAUACCAUAAGAGAAAGUCACUCUAAACCAAAAUGUGUUAGGUCUAUUAGUUAAUUAUUUAAUUUGGAAUGAUCUCAUAAUUGACCAAGAUCAGAGUUUUGUAUGGAAAACAAAUAAAAGAAGAUAUUUCUGCCAUUUGACUAGAGCAUGGAUACCUCCCCCCCCCCCCAAAGCAUAACACCUUUGGAAAUCUCCCUUUAAAAUAUUUUAAAUUUCUGUGCUAAAUUAAAAUUCCGAUUUUAAUAAACAACACAUAAAAAUUUUCCUUUGGAACCCAGUUCCAUUUCAAGAACUCAACAUUGCAUUGUUAAACUGUUUAGAGAGAUAUUUUGACAUUUGCAGGGUAGCAUGAAGAAAAAAGUAGUCAGGAGGAGAGAUACUGGGGUUCUUCUAUUUUAUAAAUAAAAGGGCAACCUGGGACAAGAAUCUUAACUUUUAAGGUCCAAGUUUUUUCACUGCAGAGAAGAAUGGAGCAGGAUAGAUGGCCUUAAAGUCCUUCCUCAUCAUCAUUAUGAUUUCUGGGCUAAUAAUAACCAGCCAAAGAACUGUGGACAAAUCAGCCAAACACCUGCUAGUCAGGCAUUAUGACUCUAAGCAAACCAACACUGGCCAUCUUGCAAGUCACAUAUUCCUUUGCAGGAUCUUCAUGGAAAUCUUACUUCGUGGCUUUAGGUCAUUCCUAUUAUGUGUGUGUGUGCGCGUGUGUGUGUGUGCGUGCGUGUGUGUGUGUGUGUGUUUAUGCUUUAGACAGACUUUCUGUGGUUGCCUGAGGCUCUGGGCUCUAGGAUUUAUUUAUUCCCCAUGUUUCUAUUUGAACCCCUGGGCAUGGAUAUGUCUAUCUCCCUCCACAGCUAAGGUCAGUGACAAAAUGAAUAUUUAUUGAGUGUCUCCUACAUUCCAAGCACUGUUCUAGGUGCUCAGGGAUACAGUGGGGACAAAGCAAACAUUAGGCCUACUUUCAUGGAGUUUCCAUUCUAAUUUUUUUUAAUGUUUAUUUUUGAGAGAGAGAGAGAGAGAGAGAGAGAGAGAGAGAGAGACAUAGUGUGAGUGGGGGAAGGGAGAGGGAGAGGGAGACACAGGAUCUAAAGCAGGCUCUAGGCUCCAAGCUGUCAGCACAGAACCUGACACGGGGCUUGAACUCACAAGUGGUAAGAUCCUGCCCUGAGCCGAGGUUGGUAGCUUAACCGACUGAGUCACUUAAGCGCCCCAUGGAGUUUCCAUUCUAGAGUAAUGAGACAAAGACACGUGAAGGGCAAAUGGAUUAGAAGAAGGAAGACAGGGAAGCAAAGGAAACACCGGGUAGAAGUACAAAGUGUUUGAACAAGAGGAUGGUGAGUUUCUUUCAGAAACUUCUCCUCUCCUUUCCCCUUUCUUCAGUAUAUACAUAUCUUAAAUGUUGUUAGCGGCCUGAGAUAUAGAAAAUGGCAUGAAAUAAAUAUCUUAGGAAGUCAUUGGUUUUGCCCCAGCCAGGUUUAGCUAGAGGAGUGCAAGGUUCUGCAAGGCAUAAUGCUGGAUAAACCAAAGUUGGGAGUUUGCCAGGUUAGGACAAUGGCUCAAAAGAGGGGCACAGGAAGUGAGGGUGAGUCUGGAACAUCAUACAAUAAGAACAGAGUCAAAGAACUAUUAACUUGGGAUUAUAGUAAAUAAAUUGGAAAAAAAAUAAGGAGGUAGUGGUCAGAAAAUGGUAAUCUUGAUAUUGAGGGCUAGAAGUUUCCUAAUUUUAUGUUUCUCGUUCUUUUUGCCCUAGCACACUGCCGACUUUCAAGACAGUCUCAAUUCAGCUCAACCCCAGCCCUUUUUUGGUCUUCCUGUACCAGUAGCUGUCCAGGAAAGUCUUAUCAGCAAACUAGACAGAACUUAGAAGAAAUUGUGCCACGUAACUCAUCUUCAAAGCAGAGAAUCCAGAAAGACCACUGUGAAGCUCUACUGGAUAAAAGUUCCAAGACCAUAAAUGAGAUGUUUGUGUUGGAAGAUAUCUGAAAAUCAGCUAGUCCUGUGGUUCUCAACCAAAGAGUGGUGAUCAGGUAUGAGUGCUAUUGCCAAUAAUUAAUCAUUAAUAAUAAUAUGUUGCCAAUUGGAAGUGGUUUAUUAUUAUUAUUAUUAUUAUUAUUAUUAUGAAAUGAUUCAUUUCAAAAAAUAGAUAAGAUUGUAGGUAAUUCCCAUGACAAGCCCAUCAUGCUUACUCACUUGGAUUCUGAAGUGCUGUCCUGAUUAGGAGUAAAGAGGUGGGAUUACAGACUGCUCGCCUUGGCUUACUCAUAACUCUCAGUCUGUCUUAUCUAUGACAGGGUGAGAAAGAUAACCAACAUGCUGCUAAUUAUUAUAGUUGUUUCAAUUAGAAAAAAAAUGUGUUCAGUCAUAUUGUUUUUCAUCCUUGUGAAAUAUUAAUGGGUUUCACCCAAAUCUGGGUCUGUGAAUGUUAAAAUCAUCCAUCCUAUACCACAAUGAGAAAAAUUAGAGUCUCUGAUCAAACUCAACCCAAUCAGAUGUAAAAGCAGGAUUCAGUGACUGCCGGGAUCACAGUGAGGGGCCCCAGAGCCAGCGCUAGAACUCAACUCUCUUUCCACCAAUCUCUGGUGGCUCCAGAACAUCUGCCUUUUAGGGUCACACAGGAAAAAUAAAAUAAUUUUUUAGUAGUUCCAUUGAAUGUCAAGAGGAACAAGGAAUGCAUGACCACUUUGAGGGAAAGAGCAUAAAAAUAAUUCUUUAAGGAUCAGACAUGCAAAAAGAAUAAAACAGAAAAUAAUAAGCUUAUACAAUGUAGCAUUUGAUGUGUUGUGGAAAAGGAGGGUAACAUCUAAAAUAUUUCAGGGGCACCUGGGUGGCUGAGUCGGUUGAGUGUCUGACUCUUGAUUUCAGCUCAGGU